rnacentral:rRNA from 1 species
ACAGAGGUCCCAAGCGUUGUUCGGAUUCACUGGGCGUAAAGGGUGCGUAGGCGGUCGGGUAAGUCUGAUGUGAAAUCUCCAAGCUUAACUUGGAAAUGGCAUCGGAUACUAUUCGGCUCGAGGAAUGGAGGGGAGACUGGAAUACUUGGUGUAGCAGUGAAAUGCGUAGAUAUCAAGUGGAUCACCAGUGGCGAAGGCGAGUCUCUGGACAUUUCCUGACGCUGAGGCACGAAAGCCAGGGGAGCAAACGGGA